rnacentral:rRNA from 1 species
UACAGAGGUCUCAAGCGUUGUUCGGAUUCAUUGGGCGUAAAGGGUGCGUAGGCGGCGCGGUAAGUCGGGUGUGAAAUCUCGGAGCUUAACUCCGAAACUGCAUUCGAUACUGCCGUGCUUGAGGACUGGAGAGGAGACUGGAAUUUACGGUGUAGCGGUGAAAUGCGUAGAUAUCGUAAGGAAGACCAGUGGCGAAGGCGGGUCUCUGGACAGUUCCUAACGCUGAGGCACGAAGGUCAGGGGAGCAAACGGG